rnacentral:lncRNA from 1 species
UUAUUAAUGUAUCAAAUAACCAUGUGUGAUUCAAAAUUUUGGACUGGAUAUAGAAUUAAAAUAGAAGGCAAAGCAUUAUCAAACUUAGAUAACCUAAAUGUUUACAAUAAAAAAAUGAAAAUUGCUAACAGAAUAGAUGACAAAAAGAAGAAUGCUCAUUUCAUAAAAACUGACCUUAUCGGAUGACCCGAACACUACACCACUGCAGUUGAGUGCAAGUAUUACGUUUCCAGCCUGCAAAAGGAAACUUUACAGUCACGAAAACCAUUCUUGUGGAAUACAACAACCAAUCAAACCAGAAUAUAUAAAACACAGUUAAAAGUAUGUAUAUGCUGAUAACCACGUUUUGGGAAGGAUGUUUUAUAACCUUAAGAGCCUUGUCAAUUUACGUUUUCAUUCCAAUCCUUGACAUUUUUUGCAGAAACUAUCUUGUUUAUAAAUAUUUUGAAAGUUGGCAAGUUGUCACUUUUUUGCAAACUACAAACAAAUCAAUGACUCGUGGACUGAUAUUUGGAGGGAUCUACGGAUAAAGGGGGUGAGGCAGGGGAAAACACAAGAAUAUAUGAAAAGCUUACAUUGCUUUCAAGGUCAGGAAAGUUGUCGGAGUGGAUGCUAAGGAAAAAUUUUUGUGGUUGCAACCAUUCAACCCAUUUGUACUUACAAUCAUAGUUUAAAAUGCCGAUUUCGAGCGAAAUUUCGAAUCCUGGAAAAACGGUAUAUGCCGAGAUUUCGACACUAAAAAAGAAUUUGGAAUAUGAGUAUUCGUAAAUAUUCCCGGAUAUUUAUAUAUCCAAUUUCUCAAAUCCCGGCAUAAUUUGUGGGAUAUCCGCAGAUAUCCCUGAUAUUUUAAACUAUGCUUACAAUUUAGCUUUACCUAAAUUAAAAAAAAUUAAUGCCUUGAAAUAAUAAAGUUUCUUUUAAUAAGCGCCAUAUAAAAAGGUGUGUUGCCCAACAAAAAAUAAGUGUCAUAUAAGCAAAUCUCAAUUGCAAUAGUUUCAUUACAAUUAUGAAUAUAGAGUAUAACUAGGUUUAGAUGAAGCAAAUGACCAUUACACAAAAUCAACAGAUACGCACCAGUUUCUAUAGUGGUCAUCUGUUGGCAAAUUGAGUACUAUUGUGUAAGUACUAACCACAUAAAGAAAAAUCUAAUAGUGAUUUGGGGACGAAUUAAGGUUUAGCUGAAUCCAACCAUCCAAAACAUCACUUACAACAUUGCUGAUCUCUACCGUUUUCUCGAUGGCCUUGUUGACCUCAGUGCUUUAGUGUAUGUGACCAAGUUUUCUAUUGAAUGUUUAAAUCCCUUGAGUUUUCAUUAUAAUUAAUUUUCUGGUAUUUUUCAUUAAGAAUGUUGAGCCUGAAGCCCCUCUGGUACAACAACCCAGUAAAAAGGUACCCAGGAAACAUUCUUAUGUUGAAAUCAUGUCUGGUUCCCUAAAUUUAUUUCUUGAACUUCUAUACUAGAGAACUUAUAUCCUACUUCAGAACACACGAGCACUCCAGCCACUCUUGACAAGAUGGCAUUUUGUUCCAUAACUAUGCCUUCACUUUGUUUACAACAAUGUUACCUAAAACGUGGAUCGUUCUGGUACGUGAAACGGGAACAGGAACGUAAAACGGUAGGUACAUGGAACGCGGAACGAUAAGGGUAUAUACCUCUACGCGUACCAUAUUUGUUUGUGUGUUGCAAAGACUGUUUUUCUUAGUGAAAGAGAGCUUCAUUUUAUAGUUGAUUUUUAGUUUUAAGAGUCUGGAGAAUUUUGUUUUGGGUUUCUAAAACUAAUUCUCACGUAGUGGUUAAUCUCUAGGACUCAAUAUCUUAUCCUAAUAUAUUAUUACCAAAAAAUCAGGAGAUUUAAAUCUAAAACUAAGGAGUUUUAAUUUAAUUGAAAUUCUACUAUAUUAAAGUGAUUCUUGGCCUAUUGGAUCAUAUCAAACAGGACCACCUUAUCAAAUCUACAGAAAUCUUUAGAUAGAAGAAAGUAAAACGUAUUGCGAUUGGAAACGCACGUUCCAAAUCGCAAAUCGUGGGUAUAUGAGCGAUUUAUGGCAACCCUGGUUUACAGAGACCUCAAGUUGAAUGAAUCCUUUCAUUUGUAUCAAGUUUUGAUACACGUUUAGGCAAAUCGUCAGGUUCAGGCUUAAGCCAUAGAAAGAAAGAAGUAGCACAAAAAAAAUACAAGUACAAGAAAUACAUGUUUAGCUGUUACUUUGAUGUAUAUUGUUGGCAAACCUAGCAGAUUAGAUUAACGAUAGUCGAUUAAUCUUCAUAAUAAACCAACCAAAGCCUAAACAAAACUCAAAAUAACCUUAUAGGCUAUGACAUGCCAAUCAGGGACUCCCAUACCAAAUUAUAUAUUGAACAUCAAACGUGUUGUUUUCUAAGCAACAAGAACUGUUGGGAUACAAUUAAAGUAAAGCAGAUUCUGAAAUUGAAACAACAAACGAAAUUGGCCAGUAAAAGAACAAUAAAAAACAGAUUUUGAAAUUAAAAUUUCAAUCUUUAAGAAAUUGAGAGCAUACAAAUCCAAAGAAACCUAAUUCUAAAAUAAAAUUUUCAAACUUUUUAGUAAUUAAAGGGUAGAGAAGGCAAAACUAACCUGAUUAAAGAAAAGUCUCUGCCGAAACCAUCACCAAAGCCACCAACAAUCACCUCCAGAGUUGAUUGCAAAUAGAAACUAAUUAGAAAUAAGCUAAAGAAGAAAAUAGGAGGCAAGAUCGAGGAAAUGCUUACCAGCGAUCGAAACGAAAAAGAAGAAGUAAAUCCUCUGAACCGUUCGCGGUAGCUUUAAGCGUUUUGUUUUUUUGUUUUUGAUUUUUUUCUUUACCAAGAUGACAAAAAAGGAAACACAUUUUUUUUUUUCAAGAAAACCCUUUUCUUUCCCGAACUUGGUGGCGGGAAUUCAAUUUUUUUAUUAUUUCGUAAGCGGAAGUUAUCUCCAAAAAGAACGACUGUCUACGUCCUCAAUAACGACAGACUUUAUCAGUUGUUUCAAUACAAUUGUUUCAAACCGUCG